rnacentral:rRNA from 1 species
GACAGAGGGUGCAAACGUUGCUCGGAAUUACUGGGCGUAAAGCGCGUGUAGGUGGACUCGUAAGUCGGAUGUGAAAUCCCAGGGCUCAACCCUGGAACUGCACCCGAAACUGUGAGUCUUGAGUAAUGGAGAGGAAAGCGGAAUUCCUGGUGUAGAGGUGAAAUUCGUAGAUAUCAGGAGGAACAUCGGUGGCGAAGGCGGCUUUCUGGACAUUCACUGACACUGAGACGCGAAAGCGUGGGGAGCAAACAGG